rnacentral:rRNA from 1 species
GACAGAGGGUGCAAACGUUGUUCGGAAUUACUGGGCGUAAAGCGCGUGUAGGCUGCUUCGCAAGUCGGAUGUGGAAGCCCUGGGCUCAACCCAGGGAGUGCAUUCGAAACUGCAGAGCUGGAGUCCUGGAGAGGAAGGCGGAAUUCUCGGUGUAGAGGUGAAAUUCGUAGAUAUCGAGAGGAACACCGGUGGCGAAGGCGGCCUUCUGGACAGUGACUGACGCUGAGACGCGAAAGCGUGGGGAGCAAACAGG